rnacentral:rRNA from 1 species
AUUGAACGCUGGCGGCAUGCCUAACCCAUGCAAGUCGAGCGAGCGGCGGACGGGUGCGUAAUGUAUGGGGACUGCCCGUUAGAGGGGGAUAACUACUGGAAACGGUAGCUAAUACCGCAUACUCUCGUAUCACCCAUUUGGGAUUAGCUAGUAGGUGAGGUAAUGGCUCACCUAGGCGACGAGCCCUAGCUGGUCUGAGAGGUUGAUCAGCCACACUGGGACUGAGACACGGCCCAGACUCCUACGGAGGCAGCAGUGGGGAAUAUUGCACAAUGGGCGCAAGCCUGAUGCAGCCAUGCCGCGUGUAUGAAGAAGGCCCUAGGGUUGUAAAGUACUUUCAGCGGGGAGGCGUUACCCGCAGAAGAAGCACCGGCUAACUCCGUGCCAGCAGCCGCGGUAAUAC